GGCCUUAUGGUCUAGUAGUAUGAUUCCUGCUUUGGGUUGUGAUUGAAAGAUCUCAUGAAAUUGCAGGAGGUCACGGGUUCAAUUCCCGUUGAGGCCC